GUCAAUAUCCCCACGGCUAAAGCCGGGGGCUUACAAAAGCCCUGAUUGACUACCCUAAGCACCCUGAGUGCUACGUUACCCAGGAAUAGAUAGACACCGGUGGAUGUGUAGUCCUAGUCUGCCGCUCUGU
rnacentral:sRNA from 1 species